rnacentral:rRNA from 1 species
GACUAACGCUGGCGGCGUGCCUAACACAUGCAAGUCGAACGAAGUAGCAAUACUUAGUGGCAAACGGGUGAGUAACACGUAGUCAACCUACCUUUAAGUGGGGGAUAACUAGCCGAGAGGUUAGCUAAUACCGCAUGUGAUCUCCGAGUGGCAUCACUUGGCGAUCAAAGCAGCAAUGCGCUUAGAGACGGGACUGCGUC